rnacentral:rRNA from 2 species
CAGAGAAUAACUUUUUUUUUAUUAAAAAUUAAACUUUUUUUAAUUUGUGCAGAAACAAUUAUAAAAAUUAAAGACAAGAAGACCCUAAGAAUUUAUAAAUUUGAUUAAUAUUUUUUUGUAUUAAUUAAAUUUUAACUGGGGCGGUUAAAAAACAUUAAAAACUUUUUUAAUUUAAUAUGACCCAUUAUUAAUGAUAAUAUGAAAAAUACUCUAGGGAUAACAGCGUUAUAUUUUUUGAUAGAUCAUAUUGACAAAA